GCAAGAACCCUGAGAACGCAGCGGAAACCCACGUGAACACAGGAAGAACAUGCAAAACACCACGCAGACAGAAACCUGAGUUCACCACUGAUUGUGCCCCACCAACUUCAUUAAUUUUAUUAAAUCCAUGAAUUCAACUGAUUUUUUAUUAUUUCUGUUUAUGUGACUAUGGAAUUUCGCAAUUCCAGAACAGACAUUUGGUCACCAUGGAGAGAUUCGAAUGAGACAGAUUGACUCAUUUACUCACGUCGUAACCUCAUGUAGGAGACUUAGUAUUGCAGUAUAUUUCCCAAAACAGCCAGGGGGUGAAGCGUCUGGGGCAAAUAACAACAUGCCAGAAAUAUGGCCCUGAAAUUCAUGCUGAAGGGAAGGAAUAAAACAACUAUCACUCUUCCGGAUGACACACGCAGACUGCAUCUUGAGGUGGCGCUAAUGGAGCUCGUGCGCAAGCCACCUCACUGUCCACAUGUGAUAGAGCUGCUGGAAUGGUUCUAGAUGCCCACAUACUUCAUCUUGGUCCUGGAGCGGCCCGACCCCUGCAUUGAUCUCUUCAAGUAUUGCAGACAUGUACGCAUGAACGUGUCUGAAUCUAAGGCUCAAAUUAUCAAGCAAGUAAUUCAUGCUGCAUGUCACUGGCAUGACCGGGGUGUGCUCCAUCGAGACAUCAAGGAAGGAAACCUUCUCCUGAACCCUCAGACCUUUGAAGUGAAGCUGAUCGAUUUCGGCUGUGGUGAGCUGCUUAAGAACACCGCUACACAGAAUAUGUAGGCACCCAACAUUACUUCCCACCUCAAUGGAUCAUUGAAAACAAUUACGAGCAGAACCUGCCACCGUCUGGGGUCUGGGCGUACUCCUGUACAGCCUGUUACCUGAAGAAGAGACGUUUUUUGAAGCGCAAGA